rnacentral:rRNA from 1 species
GGGUUGUAAACCUCUUUUAUAAGGGAAGAAUAAGUUCUACGUGUAGAAUGAUGCCUGUACCUUAUGAAUAAGCAUCGGCUGACUCCGUGCCAGCAGCCGCGGUAAUACGGAGGAUGCGAGCGUUAUCCGGAUUUAUUGGGUUUAAAGGGUGCGUAGGCGGUUUAUUAAGUUAGUGGUUAAAUAUUUGAGCUAAACUCAAUUGUGCCAUUAAUACUGGUAAACUGGAGUACAGACGAGGUAGGCGGAAUAAGUUAAGUAGCGGUGAAAUGCAUAGAUAUAACUUAGAACUCCGAUAGCGAAGGCAGCUUACCAGACUGUAACUGACGCUGAUGCACGAGAGCGUGGGUAGCGAACAGGAUUAGAUACCCUGGUAGUCCACGCCGUAAACGAUGCUCACUGGUUCUGUGCGCAUAUAUUGUACGGGAUUAAGCGAAAGUAUUAAGUGAGCCACCUGGGGAGUA